AUGUGUUUUAAGUGUUUGGUUUUAUUUGCUGCGGACAUCAUUAGACCCAUUGAUCCCCAAUUCAGAAAUGUGCAGGAGAGACUUCAAGACCCUAAGUUCUUUCCUCACUUCAAUGGUUGCAUUGGUGUCAUCAAUGGAACACACAUCCCUGUCACUGUGCCAGCUAAAAACAUGAUCAACCAUUUUGGUCGACAUGGUUAUUCAUCACAAAAUGUGAUGGGUGUAUGUGCCUUCAACAUGAGAUACAUUACUGUAGUGGCUGGAUGGCCUGGUUCAGCACAUAACACAAGGGUAUUCAAGUAGACAUUUGACAAGCACAAAGAAAGGUUCCCUCAUCCUCCAGCAGGUAUUUCCUUCAAACAAUCACACAACUCAACUUGA
rnacentral:rRNA from 1 species